AGUCUUUUGGUGUUCUAUAAAAGAUGUUUUUUGGUCAGUGGUAAAUAAAUAGCCGCGGUAAUUUGACGGUGCAAAGGUAGCAUAAUCAUUUGCUYUAUAAUUGAAGGGCUGGAAUGGAAUGGGAUAACAAGAUGUCUGCUUUAUUUUGGAGAAAAAAAGAAUUUGCUUUUUUAGUGAAGAAGCUAGGAUUUAGUUGGGGGACAAGAAGACCCUUUUGAGCUUUAUUAAUGAUGUUUUUUUUAAUUAUUUUUAAUUUGGUUGGGGCGACCCAAGGAAGAGAGGAUCUUCCUUUUUUACUUUGAUCCGGAGGUUUCGAGUGAUGGACUAAGCUACCAAAGGGAUAACAGCGUAAUUUUUUUUAUGASUUCUUAUYAAAAAAAAAGAUUGCCACCUCGAUCUUGACUUAUGGUYACCUUUUGGUGUACCAGCUAUUCGGGGUDGGUCUGUUCGACCCUUUGAAAACCUU
rnacentral:rRNA from 1 species